UAAAGAUGGUAACAAAGGAUAA
rnacentral:miRNA from 1 species